UACCCAGCUAGGUGGGGCUAAGGUCUUGGGUGGCUCUCGUAUGUAGCCGGGGAGAAAAUAGGAAAGGGGAAGACCGCUGAUCCCAAGCAGGGCGGCAGCGGGAACGACCACCUGUGGCCGGGCGAGGAGGUGGCGCUGCCGAACCGCGGCGGCAGGUGGCUGGCGGAGGUCUAGACAGGGGCAGGCGGACUUCUAGGGGAGGUGAGACGGUGGUCCCUGAGAAGAGGACGACGACGGCAAUGUACCCCUCUCCUCGUGGCCGAUCGGUGGUGGCGACCUACGGAGGUAGGGGGAAGGAGGAAGCGGGCUGCUUGGAGAAGUGAGGCCCUUGAACGACGACGACGAUUAGGCUCGACGUGGUGGAUGGAGCGACUUCGAGACAGGGCCGUCGAGAGACACUCUACCUUUUCCUUUUCCGAUUAACCCUACGUGUAGUGUAUUGAUAGAAGAUACUCUAUACGUUCCUGCUCCAGCUACGACCUUUAUCCGGUUUCCCUACAAACUUGGCAUCUCCCAUGUGUGUAGAACUUCUAUUCAAGAAACUAUCCUGAGCUUUUUCUACAAGCGUCUUAGUUAAAUUUUUGUUUGCCCUGUACAACUUCUCUGUUAUACAUGUUAAGUACAACAACUUUUUACGCCGUUGACCCGAUCCAACCCUACUACACUUGUUUUGGUAAUAUCGGCUACUACUAACCACCUUUUAUGUAGAAUUCUUUUUAGGAUUCGUACGUUUCAUGUUCUUCUUCCCCGACCGGUUGAACCUUCUUUAAGUACAGUACAAGCGGUUGCGUGUACAGUGGCCCCGAUGUAGUAGAUAAGGACCCCUCUACAGUCUGUUGUGUUUACUACUACUAUACGGACUACAACCUCUUCUCAGACUCCUCCUACCUUUACGUAACUUCCUCCAGUUCCAAAGUGGAUUCCUACCUUUCCGCCGUUUCCUCCAGUUCCAGAGUGGAUUCCUACCUUUCCGCCGUUUUAUAGACUUCGCGUUCCGGUUCAAAUAACUGCUCAGUCGAUUCCUCCUGUUCUUGGGAAAAGAUGCACUCAUCUUCCGGUGUGAACCCUUAUAUUUGAGUCUCUAUCGUCGUUGAGUACGAGGUCGUUCACAACAAGGAUGGUACUUCCUUCAAAACUGAAACUGCUUCAUAACACCCCGGCUCCUCCCUUGAGGAAACAUAAAGUGUCGGUGACUGGAACACGAGGUUGGGUUGAUAUCUCUCAACAAGUACGACUAGCUUUGUUUUUUCCCCUCUGAACUAACCGAGUUAUCCUUUGUACUAGUUUACUUGUUUAUCUUGGUGUUUUGGAACAGGAGGUUGAGUUGAUACAAACUUGAUAAACAUAUUGAUAAACAAAAUCAUGAUUACUUGUGCACAGAAGCACUACAUUACGUGGUAUAGAUACAAUAACGACGGAACAAACACUGUUUGGUAUAGAUAGAAUAACGAUGGAACAAACACUACUUGGUAUAGAUAGAAUAACAACAGGUCAAAAACUUUUACAACAACGACGGUGUAUAAUCGUUACAAGUACAGGUCAAAAACAUUUAUAACAAUAUGUACAACAACGACGGUAUAAACUGUUACAAUGACGGGUUUAAAAAACAUCUACUUACCUCACCUAGUCCUAUAGCUACUACUCGGAUCCUUUUCCUCCUUUUUCGAGUUCGCUAACCGCUGAAACCGUAUAGUACAACCCACAUACUCACUGUACCCAUUAGUGAUGUGGUUUUGGAUAGAUGGUUUUCUUGGUAUAUCCUAAGGUCUUGUUUGACCAAUACUUACCCAAUACCUUUGAGAACCAGUGUUUUCCUCAACAAUAUCCUACAAAGCCUACUCAGCUUCUCAUAAACUCAGUAACGUGUUAUAGGAUCACAGAGUAAUACCUAACUUCAGUUCGUCUCUUCACUGUAGCAUUCUCAGAAAUCGAUACAAGAACACCUACCAACCACCGGGGGUUAGUAAGAGAGUUCAACUCUUAGCAAAAAGCUCUAGUUGCCUUUGCCAGGUAGCUUUCAAGUUUCUCCAGAACUUAACGAACACGUUCAAUCGUCCUGUAUUGUAUUGUGGAGCUCUACUAUGAAAGUGUUGGCACGUACGUUCUUAAGUUCUACUCUCUAAAACCGGAGUAAAGUUUCCACGCUAGCCACGUUAUCUACCGACGGUGUAGGGUCAAUGUCACGGUAGCCUACUCCAACAAUUGGUGUGUCCAGCGGUACCUAAAGGUAGUGUUUUACAAUACCGCCAAACGCUGAAACUGUACUCCAAAUGAAAACAACACCGACCAACCGGGCCAAGUCGUGUACUGUGUUCCUAGAAUUUACUAUCGAACCAUUUCAUACGUGUAGCGAAGGGAUGUGGUGGUGGUCCUUUUAUAAUGGAGUAACUAAGCCCUAUAGGUUUGGCACUUCCUAUGGAACGAGGAAUGUUUCCGGUUUAUAUGGUGUAUGGUCUUAAAGCAUUACCUGCUUUUGGCCACCCGUUUAUACUCCACAUAUUAGUAUCGGUGAGAAGUGAAUCUUUACAACAACUCGCUUGUAAACCUCACGAGUUUCGAUUUACCGCGUAGAACUUCCCACAUGGAUCAAAGUUUGGAACAUGUGUCUUUUUCUAAUAAUAACGAACAUACCGCAACGUGUUGAUAUAAGCACUCUGGUUCAACGGGCUGCUCCUCAAACUGUUUACACUACUUCUACUCCUAAUAUAAGGACUACUCCUGAACCUUCAUCACGGUCAGUUUCCUCGAUCACAAGGCCGCUCUGAAUUGUAACAGCUG
rnacentral:rRNA from 1 species